GACGAACGCUGGCGGCGUGCUUAACACAUGCAAGUCUAACGGAAAGGCCCCUUUUUUGUUCCUCGAUUGUCUAACGGUUGCGUAACACGUGAGUAACCUGCCCUUCCCUUCCGUUUAACUUCAGGAAACUGUUGCUAAUACCGAAUAGAAAUCCUUGCUGCCUGGUGUGGGUUUGAAAGCUUCUGCUGUUUUGGAUGUACUAGCGGGUUAUCUCCUUGUUGGUUGGGUAGUGGUUUACCAAGGCUUUGACGGGUAGGCGGCCUGAGAGGGGGGCCGGCCACAUUGGGAAUGAGAAACGGCGCAGACAACUACGGGAGGCAGCAGGGGGGAAGAAUGCACAAAGGGAGGAAGGCGGAAGCAGCAAAGACGGGGGCGGGAUGAAGGAAUUCGGGUUGUAAAACGACUUGAGCAGGGGCGAAGAUUGUGGUGACGGUACCUGCAGAAGAAGCACCGGCUAACUACGUG
rnacentral:rRNA from 1 species